rnacentral:rRNA from 1 species
AUGAACGCUGGCGGCGUGCCUAAUACAUGCAAGUCGAGCGAACAGAUGAGGAGCUUGCUCCUCUGACGUUAGCGGCGGACGGGUGAGUAACACGUGGAUAACCUACCUAUAAGACUGGGAUAACUUCGGGAAACCGGAGCUAAUACCGGAUAAUAUAUUGAACUGCAUGGUUCAAUAGUGAAAGACGGUUUUGCUGUCACUUAUAGAUGGAUCCGCGCCGCAUUAGCUAGUUGGUAAGGUAACGGCUUACCAAGGCAACGAUGCGUAGCCGACCUGAGAGGGUGAUCGGCCACACUGGAACUGAGACACGGUCCAGACUCCUACGGGAGGCAGCAGUAGGGAAUCUUCCGCAAUGGGCGAAAGCCUGACGGAGCAACGCCGCGUGAGUGAUGAAGGUCUUCGGAUCGUAAAACUCUGUUAUUAGGGAAGAACAAAUGUGUAAGUAACUAUGCACGUCUUGACGGUACCUAAUCAGAAAGCCACGGCUAACUACGUG